ensembl:lncRNA
AAACCCCAUAGCCAACGCAUGAUUCUACUGGGUAUCACAUGUGUUCUUGAUUCGAACCCAUUGCCAUGUUGUUAGUAUUUGCAUUAGAGUGUUCAUUUAGAGUCUCUCCUCUGUCAUGUCCCCUCAACUGCUGUAGUCAGGCAGUUGCUUUUCCUUGGUGUUUCCACUCCCACAGUUUGUCCUCUGCUUAUGGAUAGUGUUUUUUCUCCUAGAUCCCUGCAGAUUGUUCAGGGACAUUACACCGCCACUAAUGGAGAAGUCCAUUACGUUCGAUUAUACCACAGUGUAUUAGUCUCUGUGUACAAUGUUCUCCUGGUUCUGCUCCUCUCGCUCUGCAUCACUUCCUGGAAGUCGGUCCAGUCUCCAUGGAAUUCCUCCACUUUAUUAUUCCUUUUAGCACAAUAGUAUUCCAUCACCAACAUAUACCACAAUUUGUUCAGCCAUUCCCUAAUUGAAGGACAUCCCCUCGUUUUCCAAUUUUUGGCCACCACAAAGAGUGUAGCUAUGAAUAUUCUUGUACAUGUCUUUUUCUCCAUUAUCUCUUUGGGGUACAGACCCAGCAGUGCUAUGGCUGGAUCAAAGGGUAGACAUUCUUUUGUCGCCCUUUGGGCAUAGUUCCAAAUUGCCCUCCAGAAUGGUUGGAUCAGUUCACAACUCCACCAGCAAUGAAUUAGUGUCCCUACUUUGCCACAUCCCCUCCAGCAUUCAUUACUUUCCUUUGCUGUUAUGUUAGCCAAUCUGCUAGGUGUGAGGUGAUACCUCAGAGUUGUUUUGAUUUGCAUCUCUCUGAUUAUAAGAGAUUUAGAACACUUCUUCAUGUGCUUAUUAAUAGUUUUGAUUCUUUAUCUGGAAACUGCCUGUUCAUGUCCCUUGCCCAUUUAUCAAUUGGAGAAUGGCUUGAUUUUUUUGAUUUGCAUCUCUCUGAUUAUAAGAGAUUUAGAACACUUCUUCAUGUGCUUAUUAAUAGUUUUGAUUUCUUUGGCUGAGAACUGCCUGUUCAUGUCCCUUGCCCAUUUGUCAAUUGGAGAAUGGCUUGAUUUUUUGUACAAUUGAUUUAGCUCUUUAUAAAUUUGAGUAAUUAAACCUUUGUCAGAGGUUUCUAUGAAGAUUUUUUCCCAAUUUGUUGUUUCCCUUCUGAUUUUAGUUACAUUGGUUUUGUUUGUACAAAAGCUUUUUAGUUUGAUGUAGUCAAAAUUAUUUAUUUUACAUUUUGUGAUUCUUUCUAUAUCUUGCUUGGUUUUAAAGCCUUUCCCCUCCCAAAGGUCUGACAUGUAUACUAUUCUGUGUUUACCCAAUUUAUUUAUGGUUUCCUUCUUUAUGUUUAAGUCAUUCACCCAUUUUGAAUUUAUCUUGGUGUAGGGUGUGAGGUGUUGAUCAAUUCCUAAUCUCUCCCACACUGUCUUCCAAUUUUCCCAGCAGUUUUUAUCGAAUAGUAGAUUUUUGUCCCAAAAGCUGGGAUCUUUGGGUUUAUCGUAUACUGUCUUGCUGAGGUCUCUUGCCCCCAGUCUAUUCCACUGAUCCUCCUUUCUGUCUCUUAGCCAGUACCCAAUUUGUUUGAUGACUGCUGCUUUAUAUAUAGUUUUAGGUCAGGGACUGCAAGGCCCCCAUCGUAUGUGUUUUUUUUCAUUAUUUCCCUGGAUAUCCUUGAUCUUUUGUUCUUCCAAAUGAACUUUGUUAUGGUUUUUUCUAAAUCAGUGAAGAAGUAUUUUGGUAGUUCAAUGGGUAUGGCACUAAAUAGAUAAAUAAGUUUGGGUAGGAUGGUCAUUUUUAUUAUAUUGGCUCGUCCUAUCCAUGAGCAGUUAAUGUUUUUCCAUUUGUUCAGGUCUAGUUUUAGUUGUGUGGCAAGUGUUUUGUAGUUGUGUUCAUAUAGUUCCUGUGUUUGUCUUGGGAGAUAGAUUCCUAGGUAUUUUAUUUUGUCUAAGGUGAUUUUGAAUGGGAUUUCUCUUUCUAGUUCUUGCUGCUGAGCUGUGUUGGAGAUAUAUAGAAAAGCUGAUGAUUUAUGUGGGUUUAUUUUGUAUCCUGCAACUUUGCUAAAGUUGUUGAUUAUUUCAAU